UGACGAACGCUGGCGGCGCGCCUAACACAUGCAAGUCGGACUAGCGAGAGAGAGCUUGCUUUCUCGAGCGAGUGGCGAACGGGUGAGUAACGCGUGAGGAACCUGCCUCAAAGAGGGGGACAACAGUUGGAAACGACUGCUAAUACCGCAUAAGCCCACGGGUCGGCAUCGACCAGAGGGAAAAGGAGCAAUCCGCUUUGAGAUGGCCUCGCGUCCGAUUAGCUAGUUGGUGAGGUAACGGCCCACCAAGGCGACGAUCGGUAGCCGGACUGAGAGGUUGAACGGCCACAUUGGGACUGAGACACGGCCCAGACUCCUACGGGAGGCAGCAGUGGGGAAUAUUGCACAAUGGGGGAAACCCUGAUGCAGCGACGCCGCGUGGAGGAAGAAGGUCUUCGGAUUGUAAACUCCUGUUGUUGAGGAAGAUAAUGACGGUACUCAACAAGGAAGUGACGGCUAACUACGUGCCAGCAGCCGCGGUAAAACGUAGGUCACAAGCGUUGUCCGGAAUUACUGGGUGUAAAGGGAGCGCAGGCGGGAAGACAAGUUGGAAGUGAAAUCCAUGGGCUCAACCCAUGAACUGCUUUCAAAACUGUUUUUCUUGAGUAGUGCAGAGGUAGGCGGAAUUCCCGGUGUAGCGGUGGAAUGCGUAGAUAUCGGGAGGAACACCAGUGGCGAAGGCGGCCUACUGGGCACCAACUGACGCUGAGGCUCGAAAGUGUGGGUAGCAAACAGGAUUAGAUACCCUGGUAGUCCACACCGUAGACGAUGAUUACUAGGUGUUGGAGGAUUGACCCCU
rnacentral:rRNA from 1 species